CCUACGGGAGGCAGCAGUGAGGAAUCUUGCGCAAUGGGGGAAACCCUGACGCAGCAACGCCGUGUGAGUGAUGAAGGCCUUCGGGUCGUAAAGCUCUGUCAAGUGGGAAGAACCUGACUGAUGCCAAUACCAUCAGUCACUGACGGUACCACUAAAGGAAGCACCGGCUAACUCCGUGCCAGCAGCCGCGGUAAGACGGAGGGUGCCAGCGUUAUUCGGAAUUACUGGGCGUAAAGGGCGCGUAGGCGGCUCUUUAAGUCAGGCGUGAAAGCCCGGGGCUCAACCCCGGAAGUGCGUUUGAAACUGAAGAGCUCGAGUACGGGAGAGGGAAGUGGAAUUCCUGGUGUAGAGGUGAAAUUCGUAGAUAUCAGGAGGAACACCGGUGGCGAAGGCGACUUCCUGGACCGAUACUGACGCUGAUGCGCGAAAGCGUGGGGAGCAAACAGGAUUAGAGACCCUGGUAGUCCACGCCGUAAACGAUGAACACUAGGUGUAGCGGGUAUUGACCCCUGCUGUGCCGAAGCUAACGCAUUAAGUGCCCCGCCUGGGGAGUACGGCCGCAAGGCUAAAACUCAAAGGAAUUGACGG
rnacentral:rRNA from 1 species